CCUACGGGGGGCAGCAGGCGCGAAAACUUUACAAUGCGGGAAACCGUGAUAAGGGGACACCGAGUGCCAGCAUCAUAUGCUGGCUGUCCGGAUGUGUAAAAUACAUCCGUUAGCAAGGGCCGGGCAAGACCGGUGCCAGCCGCCGCGGUAACACCGGCGGCCCGAGUGGUGAUCGUGAUUAUUGGGUCUAAAGGGUCCGUAGCCGGUUUGGUCAGUCCUCCGGGAAAUCUGAUAGCUCAACUAUUAGGCUUUCGGGGGAUACUGCCAGACUUGGAACCGGGAG
rnacentral:rRNA from 1 species